UGCAGUCGUACGGUGAAGAGAGCUUGCUCUCUGGAUCAGUGGCGAACGGGUGAGUAACACGUGAGCAAUCUGCCCCUGACUCUGGGAUAAGCGCUGGAAACGGCGUCUAAUACCGGAUACGAGCUGCGAAGGCAUCUUCAGCAGCUGGAAAGAAUUUCGGUCAGGGAUGAGCUCGCGGCCUAUCAGCUAGUUGGUGAGGUAAUGGCUCACCAAGGCGUCGACGGGUAGCCGGCCUGAGAGGGUGACCGGCCACACUGGGACUGAGACACGGCCCAGACUCCUACGGGAGGCAGCAGUGGGGAAUAUUGCACAAUGGGCGCAAGCCUGAUGCAGCAACGCCGCGUGAGGGACGACGGCCUUCGGGUUGUAAACCUCUUUUAGCAGGGAAGAAGCGAAAGUGACGGUACCUGCAGAAAAAGCGCCGGCUAACUACGUGCCAGCAGCCGCGGUAAUACGUAGGGCGCAAGCGUUAUCCGGAAUUAUUGGGCGUAAAGAGCUCGUAGGCGGUUUGUCGCGUCUGCUGUGAAAACCCGAGGCUCAACCUCGGGCCUGCAGUGGGUACGGGCAGACUAGAGUGCGGUAGGGGAGAUUGGAAUUCCUGGUGUAGCGGUGGAAUGCGCAGAUAUCAGGAGGAACACCGAUGGCGAAGGCAGAUCUCUGGGCCGUAACUGACGCUGAGGAGCGAAAG
rnacentral:rRNA from 1 species